rnacentral:ncRNA from 1 species
ACUCUAGUCUGGCACAGUGAAGAGACCUGAGAGGUGUAGAAUAAGUGGGAGGUCCCUGGUAACCAUCCCCCUUCUUCGAGAGGGGUCAGGGAAGAGUCCACUGGCCUCACAGGCUGCUGGUAAAAUACUGCUGCUCUCAUCAUUUUUUUCACUGACCCAGUGAGGCAGGGUUGAGGGGGGCAAUCUUGCUUCUGGGGCCAAAUGCUUGUCCACUGUGUGGACAGUACCAGGUAGGGAAU